rnacentral:lncRNA from 1 species
GGUGUCUUCCCAUAAUUUGCACUGCCUUGACCACCGCCUCUUCCACCUCUGCCUCUUCCUCCAUAGCUACCUCUUCCUCCACCACUACUGAACUGUUGCUGCUGGUAUACUUCUUUUGGCUGUGCUACCUUUAUCUCGCACUUGCUUCCACUGACGUUAUGGAAUUUCUUCUCCAAAACUUUCUUCACUGGAUCUUCUUCCUUGAAAGUGAUGAACACAAACCCCCUCCUUUUGUUGGUCUUUGGAUCCAUUGGAAGUUCAAUUGCUUCAAUCUGAAGACAUGAAAUACUGUUUUAGGCUCAAAUUUUAGCAGAACACUUAAGUGCAUGGCAUUUGGUACAGUAACACUGUAAGUUUCAAACCUAUACGUAUUAAGCAACACUAAAGUUGCAAUAAUGUUCUUCCCAUAGGAAAAUUAGCUUUCAAACUAGAGGCUUCAACUAACUUUACAAAUCUUAAAAAGAAUUUUAACAUAGAAUAGAAUGGUUUGAGUUCAAAUGAGGUAUCUAACUAGCAACAUAAACAUUUAGUGCAAUGCCUGCCUUGCUUUCAAGAUAAGAAACCUCUGAAUCAGUAACAAAAGACUUGACAUAUCUGAAAUUACUAUAGUUUGCCAUUAUUAGUAAUCUGAAUAGCAACUGUUAACUAUACUGCGUUUCAGUGUUCAGUUAGAUAACAUUACACACCUCUCCAAACUCGCCAAAGUAUUCCCUGAUUUUCUCUUCUGUGGCUUCGGGGUUAAGUCCACCAACAAAUAUUUUCUUCACUGGAUCCUUUUUCAUUGCCAUGGCCUUCUUGGGGUCAAUUAGUCGUCCAUCUAGCCUGUGUUCUUUCUGUUCCAGAACCUUUUCAACACUCCCAGGUUCUUUGAAGAGUAUAAAUCCAAAGCCUCUGGAUCUUCCCGUGUUAGGGUCCAUCUUUAUCGUACAGUCAGUUACCUCACCAAACUUGGUGAAGUAGUCUUUCAAGUCUUUUUUGCUUGUAUCCCAACUGAGGCCACCAACAAACAUUUUCCCCGCGUCCUCCUCGUUCUUGCUGGCGUUGAUCUGGUCGCCUUCGGCCCCGUUCUGGCUGGCGGCCACCCCCGCCGUCCCCGCCGCAGGGCCGGCUCCCGCCGCCGCCGCCGUUCCCGCUGUCGCUGCCGCCGCUGUCGCCGCGCCCGCCGAAGCCGCCGGGGCCCCGCCGGUGUCGGCCUGCUGCUGCUCCCCGGAGCUCUCAGCCGCUUCGUGUCCAUUCUGGGUGGCGCCGGCGGCGGCCGCCAACUGCUGCUCCGCUUCGGACAUGCUGCCCCGGCCGCAGAGGCGAGAGGGACGUGAAGCGCUUUAAAAGCCGCUCGCGAUAAAAUCCGGGCCGGCCGGAAUCGGAUUAAAAUCCCCCACGGUGCUCGGCUGCUCCGCACCGGCCCCGCCGCCACCUCCUCCUCCCCCCGAGACACGUACUCUCCGGCCCGAAGCUUUAACGCGUGGCCGCCUUUAUACCGCCG